UACGGAGGAUCCGAGCGUUAUCCGGAUUUAUUGGGUUUAAAGGGAGCGUAGGCGGAGGAUCAAGUCAGCUGUGAAAUGUAGACGCUCAACGUCUGCACUGCAGUUGAAACUGGUUUUCUUGAGUGCGUAGGGGGCAGGCGGAAUUCGUCGUGUAGCGGUGAAAUGCUAGAUAUGACGAAGAACUCCGAUCGCGAAGGCAGUUUGCCGGGCCGCAACUGACGCUGAAGCUCGAAGGUGCGGGUAUCGAACA
rnacentral:rRNA from 1 species